rnacentral:rRNA from 1 species
UACAGAGGUCUCAAGCGUUGUUCGGAUUCAUUGGGCGUAAAGGGUGCGUAGGUGGCGCUGUAAGUCGGGUGUGAAAUUUCGGAGCUUAACUCGAAACUGCAUUCGAUACUGCGGUGCUUGAGGACUGGAGAGGAGACUGGAAUUUACGGUGUAGCGGUGAAAUGCGUAGAUAUCGUAAGGAAGACCAGUGGCGAAGGCGGGUCUCUGGACAGUUCCUGACGCUGAGGCACGAAGGUCAGGGGAGCAAACGGG